rnacentral:sRNA from 1 species
GCCAGGUGCCGUGGCGCAUGUCUGUCAUCCCAGCAGCUUAGGAGGCUGAGGCAGGAGGAUCGCAAGUUCGAGGCCAGCCCCAGCAACUUAGUGAGGUCUUAAGCAACUCAGUGAGACCCUGUCUCUA